GGGUAUAUAGCUCAGUGGUAGAGUGCCUGCUUAGCAUGCAUAAGAUCCUGGGUUGAAUCCCCAGUACCUCCG
rnacentral:tRNA from 1 species